GGGUUGUGAGGUUAAGCGACUAAGCGUACACGGUGGAUGCCCUGGCAGUCAGAGGCGAUGAAGGACGUGCUAAUCUGCGAUAAGCGUCGGUAAGGUGAUAUGAACCGUUAUAACCGGCGAUUUCCGAAUGGGGAAACCCAGUGUGAUUCGUCACACUAUCAUUAACUGAAUCCAUAGGUUAAUGAGGCGAACCGGGGGAACUGAAACAUCUAAGUACCCCGAGGAAAAGAAAUCAACCGAGAUUCCCCCAGUAGCGGCGAGCGAACGGGGAGCAGCCCAGAGCCUGAAUCAGUGUGUGUGUUAGUGGAAGCGUCUGGAAAGGCGCGCGAUACAGGGUGACAGCCCCGUACACAAAAAUGCACAUACUGUGAGCUCGAUGAGUAGGGCGGGACACGUGGUAUCCUGUCUGAAUAUGGGGGGACCAUCCUCCAAGGCUAAAUACUCCUGACUGACCGAUAGUGAACCAGUACCGUGAGGGAAAGGCGAAAAGAACCCCGGCGAGGGGAGUGAAAAAGAACCUGAAACCGUGUACGUACAAGCAGUGGGAGCACAGAGCAAUCUGUGUGACUGCGUACCUUUUGUAUAAUGGGUCAGCGACUUAUAUUCUGUAGCAAGGUUAACCGAAUAGGGGAGCCGAAGGGAAACCGAGUCUUAACUGGGCGUUAAGUUGCAGGGUAUAGACCCGAAACCCGGUGAUCUAGCCAUGGGCAGGUUGAAGGUUGGGUAACACUAACUGGAGGACCGAACCGACUAAUGUUGAAAAAUUAGCGGAUGACUUGUGGCUGGGGGUGAAAGGCCAAUCAAACCGGGAGAUAGCUGGUUCUCCCCGAAAGCUAUUUAGGUAGCGCCUCGUGAAUUCAUCUCCGGGGGUAGAGCACUGUUUCGGCAAGGGGGUCAUCCCGACUUACCAACCCGAUGCAAACUGCGAAUACCGGAGAAUGUUAUCACGGGAGACACACGGCGGGUGCUAACGUCCGUCGUGAAGAGGGAAACAACCCAGACCGCCAGCUAAGGUCCCAAAGUCAUGGUUAAGUGGGAAACGAUGUGGGAAGGCCCAGACAGCCAGGAUGUUGGCUUAGAAGCAGCCAUCAUUUAAAGAAAGCGUAAUAGCUCACUGGUCGAGUCGGCCUGCGCGGAAGAUGUAACGGGGCUAAACCAUGCACCGAAGCUGCGGCAGCGACGCUUAUGCGUUGUUGGGUAGGGGAGCGUUCUGUAAGCCUGUGAAGGUGUACUGUGAGGUAUGCUGGAGGUAUCAGAAGUGCGAAUGCUGACAUAAGUAACGAUAAAGCGGGUGAAAAGCCCGCUCGCCGGAAGACCAAGGGUUCCUGUCCAACGUUAAUCGGGGCAGGGUGAGUCGACCCCUAAGGCGAGGCCGAAAGGCGUAGUCGAUGGGAAACAGGUUAAUAUUCCUGUACUUGGUGUUACUGCGAAGGGGGGACGGAGAAGGCUAUGUUGGCCGGGCGACGGUUGUCCCGGUUUAAGCGUGUAGGCUGGUUUUCCAGGCAAAUCCGGAAAAUCAAGGCUGAGGCGUGAUGACGAGGCACUACGGUGCUGAAGCAACAAAUGCCCUGCUUCCAGGAAAAGCCUCUAAGCAUCAGGUAACAUCAAAUCGUACCCCAAACCGACACAGGUGGUCAGGUAGAGAAUACCAAGGCGCUUGAGAGAACUCGGGUGAAGGAACUAGGCAAAAUGGUGCCGUAACUUCGGGAGAAGGCACGCUGAUAUGUAGGUGAAGUCCCUCGCGGAUGGAGCUGAAAUCAGUCGAAGAUACCAGCUGGCUGCAACUGUUUAUUAAAAACACAGCACUGUGCAAACACGAAAGUGGACGUAUACGGUGUGACGCCUGCCCGGUGCCGGAAGGUUAAUUGAUGGGGUCAGCGCAAGCGAAGCUCUUGAUCGAAGCCCCGGUAAACGGCGGCCGUAACUAUAACGGUCCUAAGGUAGCGAAAUUCCUUGUCGGGUAAGUUCCGACCUGCACGAAUGGCGUAAUGAUGGCCAGGCUGUCUCCACCCGAGACUCAGUGAAAUUGAACUCGCUGUGAAGAUGCAGUGUACCCGCGGCAAGACGGAAAGACCCCGUGAACCUUUACUAUAGCUUGACACUGAACAUUGAGCCUUGAUGUGUAGGAUAGGUGGGAGGCUUUGAAGUGUGGACGCCAGUCUGCAUGGAGCCGACCUUGAAAUACCACCCUUUAAUGUUUGAUGUUCUAACGUUGACCCGUGAUCCGGGUUGCGGACAGUGUCUGGUGGGUAGUUUGACUGGGGCGGUCUCCUCCUAAAGAGUAACGGAGGAGCACGAAGGUUGGCUAAUCCUGGUCGGACAUCAGGAGGUUAGUGCAAUGGCAUAAGCCAGCUUGACUGCGAGCGUGACGGCGCGAGCAGGUGCGAAAGCAGGUCAUAGUGAUCCGGUGGUUCUGAAUGGAAGGGCCAUCGCUCAACGGAUAAAAGGUACUCCGGGGAUAACAGGCUGAUACCGCCCAAGAGUUCAUAUCGACGGCGGUGUUUGGCACCUCGAUGUCGGCUCAUCACAUCCUGGGGCUGAAGUAGGUCCCAAGGGUAUGGCUGUUCGCCAUUUAAAGUGGUACGCGAGCUGGGUUUAGAACGUCGUGAGACAGUUCGGUCCCUAUCUGCCGUGGGCGCUGGAGAACUGAGGGGGGCUGCUCCUAGUACGAGAGGACCGGAGUGGACGCAUCACUGGUGUUCGGGUUGUCAUGCCAAUGGCACUGCCCGGUAGCUAAAUGCGGAAGAGAUAAGUGCUGAAAGCAUCUAAGCACGAAACUUGCCCCGAGAUGAGUUCUCCCUGACUCCUUGAGAGUCCUGAAGGAACGUUGAAGACGACGACGUUGAUAGGCCGGGUGUGUAAGCGCAGCGAUGCGUUGAGCUAACCGGUACUAAUGAACCGUGAGGCUUAACCUUACAACGCCGAAGGUGUUU
rnacentral:rRNA from 1 species